UUGUUUUCAUUUCGACAGCAUGUCUACUAAAAUUGGGAAGAUACAGAGAAGGUUAGCAUGGCCCCUGGGCAGGGAUGACACCCAAACUGGUGAGCCGGUCCAUAUUUCU